GACGAACGCUGGCGGCGUGCUUAACACAUGCAAGUCGAACGGAAAGGCCCUGCUUUUGUGGGGUGCUCGAGUGGCGAACGGGUGAGUAACACGUGAGUAACCUGCCCUUGACUUUGGGAUAACUUCAGGAAACUGGGGCUAAUACCGGAUAGGAGCUCCUGCUGCAUGGUGGGGGUUGGAAAGUUUCGGCGGUUGGGGAUGGGCUCGCGGCUUAUCAGCUUGUUGGUGGGGUAGUGGCUUACCAAGGCUUUGACGGGUAGCCUGCCUGAGAGGGUGACCGGCCACAUUGGGACUGAGGUACGGCCCAGACUGCUACGGGAGGCAGCGGUGGGGAAUAUUGCACAAUGGGCGGAAGCCUGAUGCAGCAACGCCGCGUGCGGGAUGACGGCCUUCGGGUUGUGAACCGCUUUCGCCUGAGACGAAGCGUGAGUGACGGUAAUGGGUAAAGAAGCACCGGCUAACUACGUG
rnacentral:rRNA from 1 species